rnacentral:rRNA from 1 species
GACGAACGCUGGCGGCGUGCUUAACACAUGCAAGUCGAACAAUGAACCCGGAGCUUGCUCCGGCGGAUUAGUGGCGAACGGGUGAGUAACACGUGAGUAACCUGCCCUUGACUCUGGGAUAACUGCGGGAAACUGUAGCUAAUACCGGAUACGACCCUCGGCGGCAUCGCCAGGGGGUGGAAAGAAUUUCGGUCAAGGAUGGACUCGCGGCCUAGCAGCUAGUUGGUGAGGUAACGGCUCACCAAGGCGACGACGGGUAGCCGGCCUGAGAGGGUGACCGGCCACACUGGGACUGAGACACGGCCCAGACUCCUACGGGAGGCAGCAGUGGGGAAUAUUGCACAAUGGGCGCAAGCCUGAUGCAGCAACGCCGCGUGAGGGAUGACGGCCUUCGGGUUGUAAACCUCUUUUAGUAGGGAAGAAGCGAAAGUGACGGUACCUGCAGAAAAAGCACCGGCUAACUACGUGCCAGCCGCCGCCGUAA